GGCACUAGCGCGGUGGUCCCACCUGACCCCAUGCCGAACUCAGAAGUGAAACGCCGUAGCGCCGAUGGUAGUGUGGGGUCUCCCCAUGUGAGAGUAGGGAACUGCCAGGCA
rnacentral:rRNA from 1 species